UUAGAAUAUAAAUUUAUGUUCUAAGUCAAUAUUGGAUUAAGCUGGGAAAAGUGUGUUUAGGUAAAUCUCGGAGAAAACCAACCAUAAGCUCUUAGUCCUAAAAUUCAUAAACAUUAUAUUCUGAUUCAAAAAAGAGGUACAUAUUGUUUUUUAAAGUUUUCUAACACUGUCCUUUUUAUGGUUUAUCUUUUAGAAUUGAGGGUUGUUACAAUCAGACAGGUCAUUGGAAGGGUUUUUGGUUAGUCUUAAGUUGGGUAUGCCUAGCUAACAUCUAAAGAUAAACAUGGAUACAUUUCAAUAUUAUAAAACUAAGAAAAUCAGAACUGAGUAGCAUUUCUGCACUCCUCCUCCUACU
rnacentral:lncRNA from 1 species